CCGAAACAAGACAGGACUAGAAUGACCACAGAAAUCCAGUAAAUCACCCACACUGUCACCUGUACUCUACAGCUGGGUGGUCUCCAUCCUGCAGUUUAAGAAGCAGACAUCAAAACGUGGAGAAGGGAGGAACUCAUCUCAGAAGGGAAGUAGGAAGGAAUGAAUGGACCACAGAUCAAGUCAAGGAUGAGGUGAAGAGUUCCAGAAGCAGCAAGGCAGUCAAUCUACAAACUGUAGCUCAAACUGCAAGAGGGUAACAGAUAGAGGCAUGUAGAAAAGGAGAAGAGACAUUUGCAACACUGCUCCCCUACUCAUGAAGCUCCCACCCGUGAUUUGAACCCAGGUCAUCAUAUAUGGUAAUAUGUGAUUUACUGAGCAAGUUUCCACCUGGUCCCAUAAAUAAGCAUGAUUAAGGUCAAAAUGGAAUCACAUGGGUUAGGAAAAAUGAAGAUAGAAAGACCUGAGAUUUGGGGACUGGGCUGUAGUGCACCUGAUUAAGCACACAUAUUACCAAAUGCAAGGACCCAGGUUCGAACCUCCACUCUCCACCUAUGAGGAGAAGCUUCACAAGUGGUGAAGAAGGUCUGCAGGUGUCUCUCUUUCUCUUUCCCUCUCUAUCUCCCCUCUUCUCUCAAUUUAUCUCUG